UACGUAGGGGGCAAGCGUUGUCCGGAUUUAUUGGGCGUAAAGAGCGUGUAGGCGGUCAGGUAGGUCCGUUGUGAAAACUCGAGGCUCAACCUCGAGACCGCCGAUGGAAACCAUCUCGACUAGAGUCCGGAAGAGGAGAGUCGGAAAUUCCUGGUGUAGCGGUGAAAUGCGCAGAUAUCAGGAGGAACACCUGUGGCGAAAGCGGCUCACUGGACCACACAUGACGCUGAUGCACGAAAGCUAGGGGGAGCAAACAGG
rnacentral:rRNA from 1 species